rnacentral:lncRNA from 1 species
AUGGCAUAUCCUUUAUUUUUAUUAAGUAUUCUUUUCGUUAUAAGGUUUGUAGGUUUUUCUUCAAAACCUUCUAUUUGUGGGGGUCUAGUGUUAACUGUGGUGCUGUGGGUUGUGGUAUUGUGUUAAAUUUUGGUGGGGCUUUUGUGGGGCUAAUAGUCUUUUUAAUUUAUUUGGGAGGUAUAAUGGUUGAUUGGCUAUACUGUGGCAAUGGCUAUUAAGGAAUAUCCUGAAACAUGAGGAUCAAGUGUUGACAUUUGAGGGGCUUUAUUAUUAGGAUUAUUAAUAGAGCUGGUGUUAAUUU